rnacentral:rRNA from 1 species
UACCAGCACCCCGAGUGGUCGGGACGAUUAUUGGGCCUAAAGCAUCCGUAGCCGGCCUUACAAGUCCUCCGUUAAAUCCAGCUGCUUAACAGAUGGGCUGCGGAGGAUACUAUAAGACUAGGAGGCAGGAGAGGCAAGCGGUACUCAGUGGGUAGGGGUAAAAUCCGUUGAUCCAUCGAAGACCACCAGUGGCGAAGGCGGCUUGCCAGAAUGCGCUCGACGGUGAGGGAUGAAAGCUGGGGGAGCAAACCGG